AGUGAACGCUGGCGGUAGGCCUAACACAUGCAAGUCGAACGGCAGCACAGUAAGAGCUUGCUCUUACGGGUGGCGAGUGGCGGACGGGUGAGGAAUACAUCGGAAUCUACUUUUUCGUGAGGGAUAACGUAGGGAAACUUACGCUAAUACCGCAUACGACCUACGGGUGAAAGCAGGGGAUCUUCGGACCUUGCGCGAUUGAAUGAGCCGAUGUCGGAUUAGCUAGUUGGCGGGGUAAAGGCCCACCAAGGCGACGAUCCGUAGCUGGUCUGAGAGGAUGAUCAGCCACACUGGAACUGAGACACGGUCCAGACUCCUACGGGAGGCAGCAGUGGGGAAUAUUGGACAAUGGGCGCAAGCCUGAUCCAGCCAUACCGCGUGGGUGAAGAAGGCCUUCGGGUUGUAAAGCCCUUUUGUUGGGAAAGAAAAGCAGCAGGUUAAUACCCCGCUGUUCUGACGGUACCCAAAGAUUAAGCACCGGCUAACUUCGUG
rnacentral:rRNA from 1 species